CAUAGCUCAAUGGUAGAGCAUCAGUCUUACAUGAAUAUGGUCCCUGAUUCAAUCCCAGGCUGGAAGA